CCUACGGGGGGCUGCAGUGGGGAAUAUUGGACAAUGGGGGGAACCCUGAUCCAGCCAUGCCGCGUGUGUGAAGAAGGCCCUCGGGUUGUAAAGCACUUUCAGUGAGGAAGAACGCCUGGUGGUUAAUACCCAUCAGGAAAGACAUCACUCACAGAAGAAGCACCGGCUAACUCCGUGCCAGCAGCCGCGAUAAUACGGAGGGUGCGAGCGUUAAUCGGAAUUACUGGGCGUAAAGCGCGCGUAGGUGGCUUGAUAAGCCGGUUGUGAAAGCCCCGGGCUCAACCUGGGAACGGCAUCCGGAACUGUCAAGCUAGAGUGCAGGAGAGGAAGGUAGAAUUCCCGGUGUAGCGGUGAAAUGCGUAGAGAUCGGGAGGAAUACCAGUGGCGAAGGCGGCCUUCUGGACUGACACUGACACUGAGGUGCGAAAGCGUGGGUAGCAAACAGGAUUAGAUACCCUAGUAGUC
rnacentral:rRNA from 1 species